CUCAGAGCACAAGGUCUUCCAGCAAGGGAUGACACAACCAAUGUAUUUAAAAUGCGAUCACUAAGAGGCAUGGAGCCCACCUACCUCUAAACCAACUGAGAACACCAACCACCAAACAUCUCCUGCUCACGAGGUGUAGGCAAAGUCCACCCCGUGCAGUUUGCUGAAAAAAAAAAAACCAAGAAGUUUUGUAUCAUCAUGACCUGGGUUAUCCCAAAAGCCACACAGGGCAGUCAAAAGACUCCCAUUGGACUUUUGUGGGGAGAAAGAGAAAGGACAGAGACCAAGAGGAAGGCUCUGCCCCACGAGAACAAGCAGAUCUCUUCUCGUCUUGGAAAAACAAGGAGGACUAUUUCACAUCGGAGGCCAUAAAUACACUUCACUCGGCAUUCGGAACUCGCUGGGGUUCGGGGAAGAGGAGCCUGCCAGGAUGAGAGCUGCCUGACAUCAUCCGGAUCCGGUCCAGGACCAUCAGACACCUGCUGAGCCUCCCAGUGUAAUUCCACGGCAGCUGCUGCCCUAGCCCACAAGUGCACAAGCGGGAACAUGAGCUGUUUGGAUCGCUUGCCUCAAACAUUGUUCUCCGGAGUGUUUGAAAAAGGCCUAAUGAAAUGUGACUCAGAAAUAACUGACAAGUGCCAGCCUCACCUUCUUAUUGUUUCAUCAAAAUGGGAAAGACAGUGAGGAGAAGAGUCAACCUUCUCCAUGAGAUCUGCUGUCCCAACUUGCCCGCAACUUGCAGACUGACUGAAAUGUUGACACAGAGUUGACAUCUCCACUUGAUUUAUGGAGAGCUUGAACGGCGGGGAAAAAAUUAAACAUUAUAAAUCAAUGAGUAACAUCCAUAACCCUGAAGUGCUUGUUGUAA
rnacentral:lncRNA from 1 species